GACUUUCUUCGCGCGGGAGUGCGACCCGCUACACCGCUGAUCUGCGAGUUCAUCGACGACCACAAGGACCGGUUCGGGGUCGUACCGAUCUGCCGCGCCCUGGAUACCCAGGGCGCGGCAGAUCGCCCCG
rfam:Mycobacterium kansasii 732 gmk732.contig.18, whole genome shotgun sequence.